rnacentral:rRNA from 1 species
CAGCAGCCACGGGAAUACGUAGGGGGCAAGCGUUAUCCGGAUUUACUGGGUGUAAAGGGAGCGCAGGCGGUGCGGCAAGUCUGAUGUGAAAGCCCGGGGCUCAACCCCGGGACUGCAUUGGAAACUGUCGUACUUGAGUAUCGGAGAGGUAAGUGGAAUUCCUAGUGUAGCGGUGAAAUGCGUAGAUAUUAGGAGGAACACCAGUGGCGAAGGCGGCUUACUGGACGAUAACUGACGCUGAGGCUCGAAAGCGUGGGGAGCAAACAGGAUUAGAUACCCCCGUAGUCCCUGUCUCUUAUAC